rnacentral:snoRNA from 1 species
GUUCCGCCAUGUUGACACUUUCGCACUAUCUCCUUAAACCUCUCCCAAGCUUCAAAGACAGUUUCAAUCUCGUUCUGAUAGAAGUUAUGAAUCUCCCUUCUAAAAUU